AGCCGGGUAAGUCCUACACGGCCAGCUCCCCGAGAAUCCCCCAGGUCUUGACCGAAGCAAGGGUAUCGGGUCGUAGCGGCGCGAUGUAGUUCACUUGCCCAU
rnacentral:SRP_RNA from 1 species